rnacentral:rRNA from 1 species
CGAAAGCCUGACGGAGCCAGACCGCGUGAGGGAAGAAAGCCUUUGGGUUGUAAACCUCUUUUCUCAGGGAAGAAACCUGACGGUACCUGAGGAAUCAGCAUCGGCUAACUCCGUGCCAGCAGCCGCGGUAAGACGGAGGAUGCAAGCGUUAUCCGGAAUUAUUGGGCGUAAAGCGUCCGCAGGUGGUGAGUCAAGUCUGCUGUCAAAGCCAGGAGCUCAACUCCUGUCCGGCAGUGGAAACUGACCCACUCGAGGGUGGUAGGGGUAGAGGGAAUUCCCAGUGUAGCGGUGAAAUGCGUAGAGAUUGGGAAGAACACCGGUGGCGAAAGCGCUCUACUGGACGGCAACUGACACUCAGGGACGAAAGCUAGGGGAGCG